GCGAACGGGUGAGUAACACGUGAGUAACCUGCCCCUGACUCUGGGAUAAGCGUUGGAAACGACGUCUAAUACUGGAUAUGAUCACUGGCCGCAUGGUCUGGUGGUGGAAAGAUUUUUUGGUUGGGGAUGGACUCGCGGCCUAUCAGCUUGUUGGUGAGGUAAUGGCUCACCAAGGCGACGACGGGUAGCCGGCCUGAGAGGGUGACCGGCCACACUGGGACUGAGACACGGCCCAGACUCCUACGGGAGGCAGCAGUGGGGAAUAUUGCACAAUGGGCGAAAGCCUGAUGCAGCAACGCCGCGUGAGGGAUGACGGCCUUCGGGUUGUAAACCUCUUUUAGUAGGGAAGAAGCGAAAGUGACGGUACCUGCAGAAAAAGCACCGGCUAACUACGUGCCAGCAGCCGCGGUAAUACGUAUGGUGCAAGCGUUGUCCGGAAUUAUUGGGCGUAAAGAGCUCGUAAGCGGUUUGUCGCGGCUGCUGUGAAAUCCCGAGGCUCACC
rnacentral:rRNA from 1 species